rnacentral:rRNA from 1 species
AACGAACGCUGGCGGCAGGCUUAACACAUGCAAGUCGAGCGAGACCUUCGGGUCUAGCGGCGGACGGGUGAGUAACGCGUGGGAACGUGCCCUUCUCUACGGAAUAGCCCCGGGAAACUGGGAGUAAUACCGUAUACGCCCUUUGGGGGAAAGAUUUAUCGGAGAAGGAUCGGCCCGCGUUGGAUUAGGUAGUUGGUGGGGUAAUGGCCCACCAAGCCGACGAUCCAUAGCUGGUUUGAGAGGAUGAUCAGCCACACUGGGACUGAGACACGGCCCAGACUCCUACGGGAGGCAGCAGUGGGGAAUCUUAGACAAUGGGGGCAACCCUGAUCUAGCCAUGCCGCGGGAGUGAUGAAGGCCUUAGGGUUGUAAAGCUCUUUCAGCGGGGAAGAUAAGGACGGUACCAGCAGAAGAAGCCCCGGCUAACUCCGU